rnacentral:rRNA from 1 species
CCUGACUGCUAUCGGAUUGAUACUAAGCCAUGCGAGUCAUUGCAGUAAUGCAAGGCAGACGGCUCAGUAACGCGUAGUCAACCUACCCUAUGGACGGGAAUAACCUCGGGAAACUGAGUAUAAUGCCCGAUAGAACACUAUACCUGGAAUGGUUUGUGUUCCAAAUGAAUGUCGCCGUAGGAUGGGACUGCGGCCUAUCAGUUUGUUGGUGAGGUAAUGGCCCACCAAGACUAUUACAGGUACGGGCUCUGAGAGGAGUAGCCCGGAGAUGGGUACUGAGACACGGACCCAGGCCCUAUGGGGCGCAGCAGGCGAGAAAACUUUGCAAUGUGCGAAAGCACGACAAGGUUAAUCCGAGUGGUUUGUGCUAAACGAACCUUUUGACAGUCCUAGAAACACUGUUGAAUAAGGGGUGGGCAAGUUCUGGUGUCAGCCGCCGCGGUAAAACCAGCACCUCAAGUGGUCAGGAUGAUUAUUGGGCCUAAAGCAUCCGUAGCCGGCUCUGUAAGUUUUCGGUUAAAUCUGUACGCUCAACGUACAGGCUGCCGGGAAUACUGCAGAGCUAGGGAGUGGGAGAGGUAGACGGUACUCGGUAGGAAGGGGUAAAAUCCUUUGAUCUAUUGAUGACCACCUGUGGCGAAAGCGGUCUACCAGAACACGUCCGACGGUGAGGGAUGAAAGCUGGGGGAGCAAACCGGAUUAGAUAC